AGUUUGAUCAUGGCUCAGAUUGAACGCUGGCGGCAUGCUUUACACAUGCAAGUCGAGCGGCAGCGCGGGGGCAACCCUGGCGGCGAGCGGCGGACGGGUGAGUAAUGCAUCGGAACGUAUCCCGUAGUGGGGGACAACCCAGCGAAAGCUGGGCUAAUACCGCAUAUGCUCUACGGAGGAAAGCGGGGGACUUCGCAAGGAGCCUCGCGCUAUGGGAGCGGCCGAUGUCCGAUUAGCUAGUUGGUGGGGUAAAGGCUUACCAAGGCGACGAUCGGUAGCUGGUCUGAGAGGAUGAUCAGCCACACUGGGACUGAGACACGGCCCAGACUCCUACGGGAGGCAGCAGUGGGGAAUUUUGGACAAUGGGGGCAACCCUGAUCCAGCCAUGCCGCGUGCGGGAAGAAGGCCUUCGGGUUGUAAACCGCUUUUGGUCGGGAAGAAAAGGUUACCUCUAACAGAGGUGACUAUUGACGGUACCGGCAGAAUAAGCACCGGCUAACUACGUGCCAGCAGCCGCGGUAAUACGUAGGGUGCGAGCGUUAAUCGGAAUUACUGGGCGUAAAGCGUGCGCAGGCGGUAAGUUAAGUCUGAUGUGAAAGCCCCGGG
rnacentral:rRNA from 1 species